rnacentral:rRNA from 1 species
UACGUAGGGUGCAAGCGUUGUCCGGAAUUAUUGGGCGUAAAGAGCUCGUAGGCGGUUUGUCGCGUCUGCUGUGAAAACCUAAGGCUCAACCUUGGGCUUGCAGUGGGUACGGGCAGACUAGAGUGCGGUAGGGGUGACUGGAAUUCCUGGUGUAGCGGUGGAAUGCGCAGAUAUCAGGAGGAACACCGAUGGCGAAGGCAGGUCACUGGGGCCGGCAAC